UGCCAGCAUCUGUGUCAGCACACCCACACCACGCCACCACAAUGGCCUCCGCCAAUGUCCCAGUCCCUGGAGAAGUCUCACCUCUCACUGAGAUGCACUCAGAGCCUAUCAGGAGGUCCUCGCAUCCAGUUUUCAGUUCUCUCUCAGGAGUAAUUUUUCCAAGAGUAGUUGUAAGUUGGCUGUGUCCACAGGAGGAGGUGUGGCAAUAUCAAGGAGCAGUUAAAAAUUGAUGUGUGUUAAAUUUCCAGCUCUGUCAAUUAUGAGCUGAGUGAACCUGAUCAGCUCUGAAUCUUCCUGUAUCUCUAUUUUGGAAACUGAAACUCUGUAUCUCUGUUAUUUGUUAUUUCUUAUGAGGUUUGAAUGAAACUCUGCAU